GCUCCGGUGGCUUAGUCAUUAGAGCAUCCACCUCUGAUGCUGGAGGUCGUGGGUUCGAUCCCCGGUCGAGGCA